AUGGCGGCCAUGGCCCCCGAGCGCGGCGCCGGCGCCGUCCUGGCCCUGCUGGCCCUGCUGGCCGUGCCCGGGCUCCGGGCGGCCGUGACCCUGCUGGAGUCCGGGGGGGACCUCCAGCCCCCCGGCGGGUCCCUGCGCCUCCUGUGCCGGGCGGGCGCCGGCGCGGCGCCGGCGGCGCUGGUGUGGGUGCGGCAGCGCGCCGGCGCCGGGCUGGAGGCGCUGGGCGGCGCCGGGAGGUUCACGGUGAAGGUCGGUGGUGGUGGAGGGCGAGGAGGAGGUUGGGCGGUGUUGGAAGGGGAACGGCUGGAGGACGGCGAUUCCGGCGUUUAUUUCUGCGGCGCUCACGGCGGCGCCGGGCGGGGCGCGGCGGUGGCGGGAAACCGGGCCGCCGUCCGCGCGCCGGACCUGUUCCCGCUGUCGCCGUGCGGCGCCGCCGCCUCGCCCGCCUCCGUGGGCUGCGUGGCCGUCGGAUUCUUCCCGCCGCCGCUGGAGCUGGCCUGGAGCGACGCCGGCAACGGGAGCGCCGCCGGCGCCGCCUUCCCGGCCGUGCCGCGCUCCGGAACCUUCCUGGCGGCGUCGCGCCUGGGGCUGGAGCCGGAGGACGGAAAAUCCCGGGCGCCGUUCCGCUGCCGCGCCCGCCACGGCCGCAGCAACCGCAGCGUCCAGGUUGCCAAGCCAGGUCCCGGCGCGCCGCCGCCGCCGCCGGAGCUGUCGCUUCGUCCGCCGUCCCGCCACGACUUCCGGGGCCCUUCCCGCAACUCCACCCUCCUGUGCCAAAUCCGCGGCCGCCGCCUCGGCGCCGACGCCAUCCGCUGGUUCCGCGACGGCGCCCCGGUGAGCGCCGGCGUCGCCGCCGAGCCGCCCCGGACAUCCGGCGGCGUCGCGGUGGCCGGCAGCCGCCUGGAGGUGACGGAAGCCGAGUGGGAGAGCGGCGCCGUCUUCUCCUGCCAGGCCGGCGACGAGAUGAGGAACACCAGCAAGACGUUGGAGUGCGGCUAUGACCAACCCCUGCCCGACGGCGACAUCCGGGUGGAGGCGCUGCCGCCGCCCUUCGCCGAACUCUUCCACGACCGCGCGGCGCGGCUCCGGUGCCGCGUGACCAACCUGCCGGCGGCCGCCGAGGGCCUGGAGGUGACGUGGCUGAAGGAGGACGGCGAGGCCCUGGCCACCGAAACCUCGGCGCCGGCGCCGGGGCCCGACGGGCUCCUGGCGGCCGAGGGCGUGGCCCGGGUGGGCGCCGAGCUCUGGGAGUCCGGCCGGGCCUUCACGUGCCGCGUGGCGCACCCGGAGCUGCUCUUCCCCAAGGAGGUGACGCUGAGGAAGAGCUUGGUGACCUCCCCCUCUCCGCCCUCCCUCUACCUCCUCCCUCCGCCGCCGGAGCAGCUCCGCGCCGGCGCCUGGGCCACGCUCACCUGCCUGGCGCUGGACUUCAACCCCCCGGAGAUCCUCGUCCGGUGGCUCCAGGACGGCCGAGCCCUUCCACCGGAGCUCGCCGUCACCUCCCCGCCCCGGCCGCAACCCGGCACCGGCGGCCGCGGGCCCGUCUACGGCGCCGUCAGCACGCUGACCGUGCCGGCGCGCGCCUGGGACGCCGGCGCCGUCUUCACCUGCCUG